GGGCCCGCACAAGCGGUGGAACAUGUGGUUUAAUUCGAUGCAACGCGAAGAACCUUACCUGGGCUUGACAUCUGGGAAAUCUUCUGGAAACAGUUGAGUGCCUUCGGGAAUCCCAAGACAGGUGGUGCACGGUUGUCGUCAGCUCGUGUCGUGAGAUGUUGGGUUAAGUCCCGCAACGAGCGCAACCCUCGUUGUCUGUUACUACAGAUCGUAAGAUGCUGAGUACUCAGGCGAGACUGCCGGUGAUAAACCGGAGGAAGGUGGGGAUGACGUCAAAUCAUCACGCCCCUUAUGUCCAGGGCUACACACGUGUUACAAUGGGAAGAGGACAAUGAGUAGCUUGACAGCGAUGUCCGGCAAAUCUCCAAACCUCCCCUCAGUUCGGAUCGGAGUCUGCAACUCGACUCCGUGAAGUAGGAAUCGCUAGUAAACG
rnacentral:rRNA from 1 species